rnacentral:rRNA from 1 species
GUCCUUUUGUUUUAUAUUUAAGGUUUAACCUGCCCACUGAAUAAUUUAAAUGGCCGCAGUAUUUUAACUGUGCAAAGGUAGCAUAAUCAUUAGUUUUUUAAUUAAAAGCUUGUAUGAAAGGUUGGACGAGGUAAAAACUGUCUUUAUUUAAUUAAUUAUAAAAUUUAAUUUUUAAGUUAAAAAGCUUAAAUUUUUUUAAAAGACGAGAAGACCCUAUAGAUCUUUAUAUUUAUUAUUUUAUUUUUAAUUAAGAUUUAUUUAAAUUUUAUUUUAUUAAAUAUUUUAUUGGGGUAAUAAGAAGAUUUAUAAAAUUCUUUUAUAUAUUAUUCAUUGAUUAAUGUUUUGAUGAUCCAAUUUUAUUGAUUAUAAGAUUAAGUUACCUUAGGGAUAACAGCGUAAUUUUUUUAGAGAGUUCAUAUCGAUAAGAAAGUUUGCGACCUCGAUGUUGGAUUAAAGAUUAAUUUAGGUGUAGAAGUUUAAAUUUUUGGUCUGUUCGACCAUUAAAUCUUUACAUGAUCUGAGUUCAGACCGGUGUAAGCCAGGUCGGUUUCUAUCUUUAAUAAUAUAAUAUAUUUUAGUACGAAAGGACCAAAUAUAUAAUAUAUAAAUAUUUUUUAAUUUUUGAAUAUUAUUAAUUAUUUUGGCAGAUUAGUGCAAUGAAUUUAGAAUUCAUAUAUGUAAGUAUUUACAAAUAAUACUUGUUUUAUAUAGAUGUAAU